UACGUAGGAUCCAAGCGUUGUCCGGAUUUACUGGGUGUAAAGGGUGCGCAGGCGGACUUAUAAGUCAGGGGUGAAAUCUCACUGCUCAACAGUGAAACUGCCUUUGAUACUGUAGGUCUUGAAUUAGGGGAGAGAUUCGUGGAAUUCCGAGUGUAGCAGUGAAAUGUGUAGAUAUUCGGAAGAACACCAGAGGCGAAGGCAGCGAAUUGGCCCUAUAUUGACGCUCAGGCACGAAAGCAUGGGGAUCAAACAGG
rnacentral:rRNA from 1 species